rnacentral:sRNA from 2 species
ACCCCGGUAUUAUUGGUGUUAUGGGUUUGAAUCGAGCUUAGCCUUGUUCAUUUUUUUACACAACACCCCCGUAAAAAAUACAACACGGCCCGCUCCAGCCCGCAGGCGCUAAAGCGCUCAAAGGCAUAAAAACGCCCCAAAGUGCCUCAAAAAAGCCCCACGGGUGCUUUUUUAGGGCAA